GUAAAGGUAAAGGACCUCUAGACAGUUAAGUCCAGUCGAAUUCGACUACUGGGUGAGGUGUUCAUCUCUACUUUCAGGCCAAGGGAACCGGCAUUUGUUCGCAGACAGCUCCCCGGGACAUGUGGCCAACAUGACUAAACCACUAUUGGCGCACAGAGGACUAUGACGACUGCCAGAGUACACAGAAACGUCGUUUACCUUCCCGCCACAGUGGUACCUAUUUAUCUACUUGCACUAGUAUGCUCUGCAGAUGCUAGGUUGGCAGGAGCUGGGACAAAGCAACGGCAGCUCACCCCGUUGCGGGGAUUCAAAUUGCCGACCUUGUGACUGGCAAGCCCAAGAGGCUCGAUGGUUUAGAUCACAGUGCCACCUGCGCCCCAAGAAUGUGUGGGGAGCAUCCUCAAGGCUCCACCCACAUCCUAGAACCUUCAUUUUCCAGGGUUCUAAAAUAGGAGGCUCCCCAGAAGGAGGCACGGUCACCUUCCAAGUCAGGUGACAAAAACAUCAGCAAGGGGGCAGACCUACUGUACACUCUUUCCUGAGUCCUACCCUUUGUGUGCUCAGCAGUACUAUUUAUUUAGUUUUUAGAAGCUCAAGGUAGUAUACACAAUUCUCUCCUUCCUCAAUUAAUCCCCACAAUAACCCUGUGAGGUAGAUUAGGCUAAGAGGCAGUGUCCCACCCAAUAUCACCCAGUGAGCUUCAUGGCUGAGCGGGGAUUUGAACCCUGGUCUCCCAGGUCCUAGUCCAACACUCUAACCCCUACACCAAACUGGCUCAGAACCUCAGAAGCCAGCUUUUUGUGAACUUGCUUUCCCGCCUCUAUGCAAUAUUAGCUAUCUGAGAUGGCAGUGUGAGAUUGCCAGUGCCUUGCCAAGGCGACUGAGCUUAUGGGCGGGUGAGUAGGGAAUAAAAGCACCUUCCAGGAUCAUUCUUUCAAAAAGGGUUACUUGCCUCUGGAGAUAUGAGCUAAUUUAACUUUAAUCAGCCGGCCCAGCUAAUACAAUUAAGGCGAAAGUGAGCAGCUUUUCUUUCUUCUUCUUCUCUUUUUUAAAGUUGUUAAAUGCCUCCUUGGAAAGCUGGUUAACACUACAAUGAAUGCUCUAAUUAAAAUGUUGGCAGGCUCCACACAUUGCGCCGAGUGAUAAAGACGCUUUCAUCUUGAAUGGAAAAUCCUCCUGGAUAAAAAUGGAAGGGAGACACCUGCCGUGAGGCAAUGGAAGGAGGAGUGCGAGAUUCUCCUGUGAAUAGUAAUGAGAGGAAACCACACACACAGCGGUGCGGCUGUAUUGCUCUUGAUAAAGUUUCUAUCCAUGCCAUGUGACCUCAAACAAGGAUUUCUUCCCAGAGCAGGAACUCUAGCCUCUCACCCCAGGAACCUGUUCAAAGUUUUUUGGGGGAAGUGUGUGGCACAGUCUUCCAGACAGGACUACCUACAGGACUACCUAUGGGACCGCCUCUCCUGGUAUGCCCCACAGAGGACCUUAAGGUCCACAAAUGACAACACUUUGGAGGUCCUGAGCCGCAAGGUGGUUAGAUUGGUCUCAACUAGGGCCAGGGCCUUUUCAGUACUGGCCCCGACUUGGUGGAAUGCUCUGUCACAAGAGACCAGGGCCCUGCGGGACUUGACAUCUUUCCGCAGGGCCUGCAAGACAGAGCUGUUCUGUCGGUCCUUUGGUUUGGACUCAGUCUGAUCCUUAUGUUUCCCUCCCUUAUGGUUUUGAUCUAUGGGCUACCAUUAAAACGAUGCUGCAUUUUAAAUUGUAUUUUAACCCAUAUUUUAAACUGGGGUGUCCCCCCCCCAUUAUGUUUUUAUUGUAAUUUUACUGGUGUUAGCUGCCCUGAGCCCGGCUCUGGCUGGGGAGGGCGGGGUAUAAAUUAUUAUUAUUAUUAUUAUUAUUAUUAUUAUUAUUAUUGCACUUCUGAAUCCAGAAGCAGGGCUGCAUUUUCAAAUUCUGGGGUUCCUGCUAAGUUCCCUCCUAUGUACAGGUGGCACCACUUCAGCUAUAUGUCAUGGACUGGUUGGAAACAGAGGAAUGGUGAGAGGAAUCAGCUGGGGAACCACCAGGGAAGAAGGCUCAGAGCCUGGGGAGUGGUGGUGGAAUGGCAAAGAGUGGUCAGCGGGAGAAGACUGGGAAGAGGAGAUGUUGGAAACUGAAGAGAUAACCAGGUUUAGUGAGCAGGGAGAGCCUGUGAAUCAGAGAGCCCAGAAUCAGAAGCUAAAGCAGGAGAGGAGGGAGGCCAAGAAACAGAGAUGAGUCAGGUUAAUGAAGAAGCAUGGUGUCUCAUCCCCCUGCUAUGACAAGCUUCCCUUCCCCCCUGGUCUCCCAGGACCAGGAGAGGCAUGAAGUGAGAGGAGCAAAGGCAGGCAUGGCAGCAUAGUCUCAGAUUCCUUAGGAAAACCCCUGGAGAGGAGGAGACAGGCAGCUGUGGGAAGGUCUUCAGUCUCCACACCUUUCACUUAGGGAC
rnacentral:lncRNA from 1 species